CUCUGCUCAGCUCCACUUGAGGCACUUCUCGAUCGUGUGCGUCUCCGUGCGUCAUGGCGAUCUCGGUUGGCCACGUGCACCUCAAGGUGGCACACACGCAGCUCUCCCGGCGCUGCUCCCGAUCCCGCCCAAGUGGAAGAUGCUGCCACUGCUCCCGACGCCGUGCGUCGCCGCCAUCCUCCCAAAGCCGCUCGCCAGGCCCGGCCGCGCCGACUCCGACGAGAGGUGGGACGCGCACAAGACCAAAUCAGCCAGCAC
rnacentral:lncRNA from 1 species